rnacentral:rRNA from 1 species
UGAGUGCGAGCGGCUACGGCCGCGAAGUGGGUGAUGUCAAGCUUCCAAGAAAAGCCCUAUACCCGUUAAGGCAUGAUGGCCUGUACCCGAAACCGACACAGGUGGGGUGGUAGAGAAUACCGAGGGGCGCGAGGUAACUCUCUCUAAGGAACUCGGCAAAAUGGCCCCGUAACUUCGGGAGAAGGGGUGCCACCGCAAGGUGGUCGCAGUGAAGAGGCCCAGGCGACUGUUUACCAAAAACACAGGUCUCCGCUAAGUCGCAAGACGAUGUAUGGGGGCUGACGCCUGCCCAGUGCCGGAAGGUUAAGGAAGCUGGUCAGCGCAAGCGAAGCUGGCGACUGAAGCCCCGGUGAACGGCGGCCGUAACAAUAACGGUCCUAAGGUAGCGAAAUUCCUUGUCGGGUAAGUUCCGACCCGCACGAAAGGCGUAACGAUCUGGGCGCUGUCUCGGAGAGAGGCUCGGCGAAAUAGAAUUGUCUGUGAAGAUGCGGACUACGUGCACCCGGACAGAAAGACCCUAUGAAGCUUUACUGUAGCUUGGUAUUGUGCCCGGGCUCUGAAUGCGCAGGAUAGGUGGGAGGCUUUGAUCCAUGGCUUGCGGGUCAUGGUGAGCCAACGGUGAGAUACCACUCUUUCAGAGCUAGGGUUCUAACGGUCACCCGUCAUCCGGGGACCGGACAGUAUCAGGUGGGCAGUUUGACUGGGGCGGUCGCCUCCUAAAAGGUAACGGAGGCGCGCAAAGGUUUGCUCAGGCUGGUUGGAAAUCAGCCGACGAGUGCAAAAGCAGAAGCAAGCUUGACUGUGAGACCUACAAGUCGAACAGGGACGAAAGUCGGCUUUAGUGAUCCGACGGUUCUGAGUGGAAGGGCCGUCGCUCAACGGAUAAAAGUUACUCUAGGAUAACAGGCUGAUCUCCCCCAAGAGUUCACAUCGACGGGGAGGUUUGGCACCUCGAUGUCGGCUCAUCGCAACCUGGGGCUGAAGUCGGUCCCAAGGGUUGGGCUGUUCGCCCAUUAAAGCGGUACGCGAGCUGGGUUCAGAACGUCGUGAGACAGUUCGGUCCAUAUCCGGUGCACGCGCAGGAACAUUGAGAGGAUUUCUCCCUAGUACGAGAGGACCGGGAGGAACGCACCUCUGGUGUGCCAGUUAUCGUGCCAACGGUAAACGCUGGGUAGCCAUGUGCGGAGUGGAUAACCGCUGAAAGCAUCUAAGUGGGAAGCCCACCUCAAGAUGAGUGUUCCCAUGGCAUAAGCCAGUAAGGUCACGGGAAGAACACCCGUUGAUAGGCUCUACGUGGAAGCCGGGUAACCGGUGAAGCGGAGGAGUACUAAUAGACCGAGGGCUU